UUUCCCUCGUGUUUCAGGUUGUGGUCUUCACCCAGUCCGCGGGGAGUUCUGGCCGAAGCGGCCUUCGCCGUCCUCCUGAAAUCCGUGGGGCUGUUGUUGGUCGUCGACGAGGUCGUGCUGCACCCAUGGCGGAGGGUGCUAUUGGUGGCCGUCUACCCGAUGAUCAGUUAGUGCAUGGUGGUCGUCAUCCCGCUGGCUCCGCACCUGCUGGGGCUACAGCUCAGAGUUCGUCGGCUGGUGAAUUGCGCCGUCGGCGCUGAGAGAUUUGUUUAGAAAAGCGUCAUGUUGAUUUUGUUGCCGGUGAGUUGACGCGACUACAUCUGUUUAGGAAAAUGCUUCGGUGAUCUGCGAGUGCAUGCAUGCAUGCAACUGUGUAGGUUUGAUGUGACUGCGUGCAUGUCUGUGGUCCGGGCUUCCCCCGUGGAUUGCAUUAGUAUCCACUAUGUUUGUGGUCUAUUCUUUUUGUCUCAGGUUUUUUUAUUCCUUGUUGCUGUGUUAUUUAUGGGAGAUUAGACGUGACAUCCUUAAAAAACAUCUAGAUGUGAAUUAGACAAACCGUUUAUGUUUUGCUUGGUUCAUGUUGUACGUAUAUUCUUUUAGGAGGUUCUUCGGAUGCGUCUAGUGGUCCGACCACUCAGGUUGGUGUUUCUGUUAUGCUUCUCAGAAAUAUUAAUCAAUCAUUGGGUUUAUGCAAUGGAACAAGUUUGAUUAUUACCCGGAUGGGUGACAGGGUUUUAGAGGGAGAAACUAUAACUGGUUCUAAUAAAGGACAGCGUGUGUGCGUUCCACGUAUAGUUCUGAAUCCAGCAGGGUCUAAGUGGCCAUUCACGGUGCGAUGGUGUCAAUUUACAAUAAGAUUGUGCUAUGCAAUGACAAUCAAUAAAAGCUAGGGACAAACCUUACAUAAGGUGUGCGUGUAUUUACGAGGGCCUUUGUUUUCGCACGGGCAAUUGUAUGUUCCAGUGUCGCGUGUUACUUUGCGUGGUGGUCUCAAGUUCCUGAUUGAGGAUGAUUGUGGAUGUCCAGCUUCCGAGACAAGAAAUGUAGUUUACAAAGAAGUUAUCCUACGCCUAUAGAUUAUGGUUGGUGUGUUAUAUAGAAGUUAUCCUACGCCUAUAGAUGAUGGUUGGUGUGUUAUAUAGUAUCCUAAUGUAAUGAUUUUGAUGGGCCAACAUGUACAAUGCAUGCAUGUACUGACCAUUCGAGAAUACAAAUGUGUGCUCUACUGAAA